CUGAGUACGACCACAUUAAGUGCUAUAAUAUCAUGGGGAGGUUAAAGAUGUACUGUCUGUAAGUCUGUAAUUUACUGAGUACAACCACAUUAAGUCUAUAAUAUCAUGGGGAGGUUAAAGAUGUACUGUCUGUAAUUUACUGAGUACGACCACAUUAAGUGCUAUAAUAUCAUGGGGAGGUUAAAGAUGUACUGUCUGUAAUUUACUGAGUACAACCACAUUAAGUCUAUAAUAUCAUGGGGAGGUUAAAGAUGUACUGUCUGUAAGUCUGUAAUUUACUGAGUACGACCACAUUAAGUGCUAUAAUAUCAUGGGGAGGUUAAAGAUGUACUGUCUGUAAUUUACUGAGUACGACCACAUUAAGUGCUAUAAUAUCAUGGGGAGGUUAAAGAUGUACUGUCUGUAAGUCUGUAAUUUACUGAGUACGACCACAUUAAGUGCUAUAAUAUCAUGGGGAGGUUAAAGAUGUACUGUCUGUAAGUCUGUAAUUUACUGAGUACGACCACAUUAAGUGCUAUAAUAUCAUGGGGAGGUUAAAGAUGUACUGUCUGUAAGUCUGUAAUUUACUGAGUACAACCACAUUAAGUGCUAUAAUAUCAUGGGGAGGUUAAAGAUGUACUGUCUGUAAGUGCUAUAAUAUCACGGGGAGGUUAAAGAUGUACUGUCUGUUCCAUAUAAUAAGACUCUGUUUCUGUCUUCAUUAAAAAAUAAUCCAUUCUAUAUA